rnacentral:rRNA from 1 species
AGGACUAACGCUGGCGGCGUGCCUAACACAUGCAAGUCGAACGAGAGUAGCAAUACUCUAGUGGCAGACGGGUGAGUAACACGUGGUCAACCUACCUCUUAGUGGGGGAUAACUAGCCGAAAGGUUAGCUAAUACCGCAUUCGAUCUUCGAUCGGCAUCGAUUGAAGAUGAAAGGCGCAAGUCGCUAAGAGACGGGACCGCGUCCCAUUAGCUAGUUGGUAGGGUAAUGGCCUACCAAGGCGACGAUGGGUAGCUGGCUUGAGAGAGCGACCAGCCACACUGGGACUGAGACACGGCCCAGACUCCUACGGGAGGCAGCAGUGAGGAAUUUUCCGCAAUGGGCGAAAGCCUGACGGAGCGACGCCGCGUGUGGGAAGAAGGCCUUCGGGUCGUAAACCACUGUCGAAGGGGAGGAUAUUGACGGUACCUUGGAGGAAGCCCCGGCUAACUACGUGCCAGCAGCCGC